rnacentral:rRNA from 1 species
UACGUAGGCAGCAAGCGUUGUUCGGAGUUACUGGGCGUAAAGGGUGUGUAGGCGGUUGUUUAAGUUUGGUGUGAAAUCUCCCGGCUUAACUGGGAGGGUGCGCCGAAAACUGGAAGGCUUGAGUAUGGGAGAGGUAAGCGGAAUUCCCGGUGUAGCGGUGAAAUGCGUAGAUAUUGGGAGGAACACCAGUGGCGAAGGCGGCCACCUGGACCGGUUCUGACGCUGAUGCGCGAAAGCGUGGGUAGCAAACAGG